AUACGUAGGGUGCGAGCGUUGUCCGGAAUUACUGGGCGUAAAGAGCUCGUAGGUGGUUUGUCGCGUCGUCUGUGAAAUUCCGGGGCUUAACUCCGGGCGUGCAGGCGAUACGGGCAUAACUUGAGUACUGUAGGGGAGACUGGAAUUCCUGGUGUAGCGGUGAAAUGCGCAGAUAUCAGGAGGAACACCGGUGGCGAAGGCGGGUCUCUGGGCAGUAACUAACGCUGAGGAGCGAAAGCAUGGGUAGCGAACAGGAUUAGAUCCCCUGGUAGUCCAUGCCGUAAACGGUGGGCGCUAGGUGUAGGGGUCUUCCACGACUUCUGUGCCGUAGCUAACGCAUUAAGCGCCCCGCCUGGGGAGUACGGCCGCAAGGCUAAAACUCAAAUGAAUUGACGGGG
rnacentral:rRNA from 1 species